AACCUGCUGUAAAACUUCAAAGAUUUGAUGAAGAUGCACCAUAAAUGGGUUAAAGAAGCACUCUUAAGGAUGUUUAUAAUAGAACAGAUGGUUCCUCCUGGGCUUUACUGGCAUCUUAUUGCCACUCAUGCUUCUGUUGGGAUUAAAUGUGAGCCAGAGAGACUUUGCUAUUGAGAAGGAAGAACACCUGGCUCUGAAAAGAAAGUGACUGGAAUCUGCAUCACAAUGGAAGGCCUUGGAGAGGGGGUACUACUACUUUGUAGAACUUUCUUUGUAGGUUUGAGCUGAGGAGGAGAUAAGAGGAUGGUGUUGCUGGAAACCAUGAGAGGAAUCUACACAGGCUGCAUUGAUUGUCUGUCAGUGACAGGAUGAAAGGACAUAGUCUCAAGCUAUGCUAGAGGACACUCAGGCUGAACAUCAGAAGGAAUUCCUUCUCAGAAAGGGUUGUUAAACAUUGGAAUGAGGAAGAUGGUGGAGUCACCCUCCCUGGAGAUGUUGAAGAAACGACUUGUUGUGGCACUUACUGCUAUGGUCUAGUUGGCAUGGUGAUGAUUGGUCAAGAGUUGGACUUGAUCUUGGAGGUUUUUCCACCUGGAUGUUUCAGUGAUUCUGUCAUGAAAGACAUCAAAGAGGAGUAAGACCCUGUGACUUGCUGAUGCUGCGGAUGAAGAAAGAUUCAGCUUGGAUUGUCGUAAUUCUGUAGUGGAAGCCUGGGGAACGUAGUACAGAGAUGCCCAAGUUUCCUGGGCGUGCAGCAGCAUGUGCCUAUAACAAGGCUGAUUGUAUUCAUAUGGUAAUGCAGCCAGUAUCUGGUUAAAUGGGGUAUAAGUCAAUAAAAACUUGGCUGCAGUAGUCCCCAGAUCACACUGGUGAGUCCUUGUGAUGCCUUGUGGUUUCACUUGCACAUUUGCUGACUUUCAGACAAAGGUUUACGAGUUGAGUCUGAGUUCAGGCACUGCUGUGGUUUUCCGUAGAACACCUAAGUCUGUCGUCUCCCUUAAUUUUCUCUGCCUCUCUGAAAUGGCAAUAAUGGAAUAAUGGUCCAUCUUGUGUAUCAGUUUAGAGCAUUGCAAACUGUUAAUGUUUAUGAAACACUUAGAAAAUGGAUAGCCAUCUUGGGUGAGAUCAAGUUGCCACUCUGCUAUUGUCACAGAGAUAAAAGCAUGUCAGUGUCAACUUGCCUCAGAUCUGCUUUUGACCCUAGGCCUGAGAACACUGAGGCCAGUUUCCUGGGGUGGCAAUUUGAGACUCAUAAGAGUGGCAGCAGACCUACUUGCUGUCUGUUCUUCAAAAAAUACACAAAUCAAUCCAAAGCGCUUCAAACCUUGGAGGCAAAACACAGCUUUGCUUCUGUCUUCUAGGCAGGCAAGGUUCAGAGAAGUUUGUCAGGUUAUUAAAAAAGAAAUAAAUUUUUCAGCCCUCUGUGUACAGACUCGAGAAUGGCAGAACAGUGUGUGAUAUGCUGGAGGCCAACAGGACAAAGAGGGUGAGCAGUGAUAAGAAAAGGUACUAUAAGGGACACUAUAAAAUACUCUCAUAGUUCUGCCCUUCUGUGUUUCUAUUAGGUGGUAUCGAAACCCUGUCUGUUGAAACUCAUAAAUCUGAUUUCUUACAGCUCUCCUUCAGACAGGAAAUUCCUCUCCACAGAUAUGGCACAGUUCUGAAGGCCAGACACUGAGAUCCAAGAUGACAAGGUGGCAUCUAUCUAGUCACGAAAGUAAACUGCUUAGUGUAGGCUGAAUUUUUAAACUCUUCUUACUCUUUCAAAGAAGAGAGAAAGAACAUAGAACCUCUCUUAACCUGGAUGGACAAAUGCAGAAGUCCUAAACUGACUUUGCAAAAUUGGAAGGAUGUCCUGUCUAUCUAGAUCCAAGUCCAGAUAGAUGAUUUGGUCCAUGUCAAGGUAAAUGAGCUAAUGUUCCUUUUGGCAAGGCCAUAUAUUUCACAGCUGAAUCCAGCCAAAUAAAAAUCUCCUUUCAUCAAAAAUACAUGGACUUAACUUGAAGGCUGGGAUCAAUAUAAUUCCUGUAAGACUUUUAAGAUUACAUAUUGUAUAUUCUUUGUGGCCCUUCCUGUUUGCUUACCUGAACAUUUCCUUUUCAUAGAGGAGACCUUGGUCGUGCCCCUUCUAGUAAAGAAAGUUGAAAGUCACUUCAAGAGUGGCUCUUGGUGCUCCUAGACUGGGAUAAUGGGACUAGCCAGGCCCUUGGCAGCACAACCUACCUGUGUGGGCUGCGGGUCAGAGCGGCUUCUGAGCCAAGGUACUAAAUGCUAGAGAGGGAUUGCAGGUGUGGGGAAAUGACUGCUGAGUCACACAGCAGUGGACAGGCAGGAACAGUUGAGCUAUGGAAUAAACCAGAAAGCUCAGAUCCCAGAAAAGCUCUGUUCACUGGGAUAUUUGUGAUAAAGGACCUGAACAGGCGGCCUGGACUGAAAUAAAGCAGGUGACAUUAGACCGUACUGCUCCCAGGUGAGAGCUUAAAGCUGUUUAAAGCCUACAGCAAGUGAUUUUGGGGACAGCAAGCUGGAGAAAGAGUUUGGAGUCUGAAAGAUUAAAGCAGAACUAGAUUUGAUUGCCAGCUUGCUGCUGCUUAUGCUGUUUUCUGGGUAAGAACUGACAACUCCCCUGUCCUGCCUUAGCAACAGGGUGCAACUGUGCUUUCCUACAGAAGGGGCUGAGGAUAUGUUCAAGCUCAGCGCUAUUACAAAAAUGUUGUACUUAACCCUGAAAAAAUAAAUACUGCAACCUCCCUUUCUUUUUCCUGUUAAAAAAAUCUUCCAGAGCGGUACUGAACAUUUGCAAAAUAAAUAGGAGGAAAGGAAAUUGGAAUGGCAAGUCUCUCGUUGAAAACCUAUGUACUGAAACUUUACAUUUAGAUAACCUCAAGCAUCUAAUGUCACUUGCCCCUUAGGUGAAAUGAAUCUGGGGGUUUUGACUAUUUCCCUUUGUGGGAACAGUUUGAUCUGUGCUGGUGACAAAAUUUUGGUUAACUGUGCCAUUCUUACCCUGUUUAGUCUUAAAAUUUAAUGAAAUAAUUUUUGCCUGCAAUUAAGAUAUAAAAACUUCAUCCACCAUGGGAAUAUUUGUGUCAGGAGAUAGUAUUGCAAGUGCUGUGAUUUCUUUGUGCCAUCUGAAGCUGUCAAAGUUCUUGUUUGUAGUAUGGAAAGAUAAACAACUGGAGCAUCUUGAAGAUUUCUUCUAUUCAAGAUGUCUUUCCAAGGCUUGCUGCUGGACAGGAUCACACACACAUUCUUCACAAAAAUCAAGGGGUGUUUUUUAAGGCAAGCCCUGGCUUAGUGUUCCCUUUGACCUAGUAAUAAGAAGGAAAGAAAGGAAACGUAAAUUUUGUUUAUGAUGGCAAACUUAGAAAUAG